AAACGACUCUCGGCAACGGAUAUCUCGGCUCACGCAUCGAUGAAGAACGUAGCAAAAUGCGAUACUUGGUGUGAAUUGCAGAAUCCCGUGAACCAUCGAGUUUUUGAACGCAAGUUGCGCCCAAAGCCAUCCGGUUGAGGGCACGUCUGCCUGGGCGUCACGCA
rnacentral:rRNA from 1 species